UACGUAGGUGGCAAGCGUUGUCCGGAUUUACUGGGCGUAAAGAGCGCGCAGGCGGUCGUUCAAGUCGCGUGUGAAAGCCCCCGGCUCAACUGGGGAGGGUCACGCGAUACUGAUCGACUCGAAGGCAGGAGAGGGUAGUGGAAUUCCCGGUGUAGUGGUGAAAUGCGUAGAUAUCGGUAGGAACACCAGUGGCGAAGGCGGUCUCCUGGGGCAUUCUUGACGCUGAGGCGCGAAAGCUGGGGGAGCAAACGGG
rnacentral:rRNA from 1 species